ensembl:misc_RNA 7SK 7SK RNA
GGAUGUGAGGGUGAUCUGGCUGUGACAUCUGUCACCCCAUUGAUCUCGAGGGUUGAUUUGGCCAAUCUGGCUGGCUAGGUGGGUGUCCCCUCACGGCUCCAUGUUUAUCCCUCCCAAAGCUGCGCGCUAGGUCUAAGAGGACAGCCUUCCCCGAAUAGAGAUAGAUUGGUCUUUGGUCGAGGGUAUACGAGUAACUGCGUUCCCCUGCUAGAACCUCCAAACAAGCACUCAAGGUCCAAAUAUCAUGCCAGUAUUGUGAAUAUAAUGCCAACUGCAUGU